AUGGGUUCCUUGUCAGGAACUCGGCCGCCACUUGUCUUCCUUCACAGUCUCCCUCAGGAUAGUCUGAAAACUAAGCAGACAAAGCUGAAGAAGGAUGAAGAAACCAUGAGAGCCUGGUCUUAUUCAUCCUGUCAUGGACCUCCAAGCCUUCAUCUGGGAGGCUUUGGCCCUGUGGGAAAACAGACCAGCAAAACCUCGGCAACCGGGGCGCCCACCCUGCAGGCCCCAGCGUCUCAGCAUCGGGGACUCUCCCAGAAACAAGCCAGAAUCCGCAAAUACACCGCGAUAGGCGAUGACCAGGAGAGGCAAAGCCUCGAGGAGGCGAAACUGCUAAAAACCCAGGCUCCUAGGAAGCCCCAGACCUUCCCCCAUAGGGCACAGACAGAUGAUGCCUUCUCUUUUACCCUUCUGGCGACUGUGGAGGAGGACAUGGGCCUCAGACACGGCUUAGGGGUGUCCAGGGCUGGCAGGGCCUGGAAGGUGCUGUCUUUCCUGGGGAGUAAAAGAACACUUCCAAGGCCUCCUCACCACAUCCAGGGAGGUGGCCCCAGCUCCACUUACACAGUAGGAGGACCCAAGUCUCCCACACUGGGGUCUUUGCCCUUGUCCAGGGAUGCAUGGUCCAUGCUCUGCCAUGUCCUGGGCCACUCCAAGUCUCAGGACACCAACUGCCCUGCCUUCCUCUGCUCAGAAGGGCCUCCAGGGCUGCCCAACCUUGACCUGCUCAAUCUCUUCCAGACCUUCUGCCAGAAAGGGGGCCUGUUGUGCACGCUUCAGGAUAAGCUGCAGCCCUAGGACUGGAUGUCGUUGGCCAGACUGCUGCAGGGCCUGCAGACACGACUGCUCAUGGCUCUGUGGCAGGCCUCCCGCCACCCCCACCACUCCUAUGGCCUCUUCUUGUGCUACCGUGUGGAGGCCCGAGCCCUGUGUGGCAUCAAUAGCUUCCGCCAGUACAAGUAUGACCUGGUGGCAGUGGGCAAGGCUUUGGAGGGCAUGUUCUGCAAGCUCAAUCACCUCCUGCAGCACCUGCACCAGCCGUUCUUCCUCUACCUGCUCCCCACCCUCUCUCGCUUCGUCUCCAUCGGCCUCUACUUGCCUGCUACUGACUUCUUGCUCCUGGUCCUUGGUUUCAAGGCUCUGAAACUGUGGAUGCAGCUGCCUGAGGCUGGAGCGGGUCUUGAGGAGCCCGAGAGGGGUCCCUGGCCCCAGUGUCCCACCUCCCCCAGCACAGGGUGGUAAGCCCUCAGGUCCCAGACAGGGGCUGGAUGGUGCUGAAGCUGGUAGCCCUGAUCUGCCUAGCACUGCAGCUGGGCUGCAUCAUCCUCACCAGUUUCUCACUGGACUUCUUGCUGGCUGCCACUAUGGUGCCUGCCGCUGCGCUCGCCGAGCCUCAUGGGCCCCGGACCCUCUACACUGCCCUGCUGGCGCUGACAAGCCCGGCAGCCACGCUCCCUGGCAACCCAUUCCUGUGGCAGGAGCUGCAGGAGGCACUACUGUCACUGGCCGAAGGCUGGCAGCUCUUCCUUGCAGUACUGGCCCAGGGUGUGCUGCAGCACCACACCUAAGGCGCCCUGCUCUUCCCACUACUGUCCCUGGGCCUCUACCCUUGCUGGCUGCUUUCCUGGCAUGUGCUCUUCUGGAAGUGAGAUCUGCCUGUCCAAGGCAUCAGGCUGGGACAGAGACUCCCCAAGAACCCCAUUCUGCCUCCUUCCGGGGAAAUAAACAAGUGCCUAUUUCAGCUGCUUUAAAAAAAAAUGCGCUGGAAAAUACUUUGUUAACAAAAAGAUUUAAAUAU